rnacentral:rRNA from 1 species
UACGGAGGGUGCAAGCGUUAUCCGGAUUCACUGGGUUUAAAGGGUGCGUAGGCGGCGCGGUAAGUCGGGUGUGAAAUCUCGGAGCUUAACUCCGAAACUGCAUUCGAUACUGCCGUGCUUGAGGACUGGAGAGGAGACUGGAAUUUACGGUGUAGCGGUGAAAUGCGUAGAUAUCGUAAGGAAGACCAGUGGCGAAGGCGGGUCUCUGGAAAGUUCCUGACGCUGAGGCACGAAGGUCAGGGGAGCAAACGGG